AUUGCGUUGUUAUGUUGUGGCUGUGCCCAUUCUCCUAUCUUGGCAAAAGCUUAAGAUAGCUGUUUCUCUGGUGAACGGCUUCUCUGCUGUUUCCUUAGGCCUUGCCUCCCGUUCCGUCUUUAUCUGAACAUCAUCUUUGUCCUCUUCAAAAGUGCUGUCAAGGAUGUGGAUGAUCUCUGAUUCUGGUCCACGUGGCAGUUCUUGCAUCGGCGGUGGCGGGGGUGCAGAAGGUGGUGCUUGUCGUGCUGGCUGUUGUAUCUGUGCGGCUUGUUGAGCUGGUGGUGGUGGAGGGCGACGUUGUGGAGGGGGUUGGAGGUCAUCGUCCAGAAGCGGUACCCUUGUGAAUUGGAAAUGUACCCCAGGUGGGGUACGUGCAGGUGCAUAGGGAGGAGGGAAGAAAAAAAAAAAAGAAA